GCCGAGAUAGCUCAAUGGUAGAGCAACUGUUUUGUAAACAGUAGGUUGGGGGUUCGAAUCCUCUUCUCGGCUCCA
rnacentral:tRNA from 1 species